GGCUUGGUGGUCUAGUGGUAUGAUUCUCGCUUUGGGUGCGAGAGGUCCCGGGUUCAAUUCCCGGCCAAGCCC